GUAAUGAAUGUAAUCUUAUUAUAACAAUAAU
rnacentral:misc_RNA from 1 species